rnacentral:rRNA from 1 species
GAUUGAACGCUGGCGGCAUGCUUUACCCAUGCAAGUCGGACGGCAGCACAGAGAAGCUUGCUUCUUGGGUGGCGAGUGGCGAACGGGUGAGUAACAUAUCGGAACGUACCGAGCAGUGGGGGAUAACUAAUCGAAAGAUUAGCUAAUACCGCAUAUUUUCUGAGGAAGAAAGCAGGGGACCUUUGGGCCUUGCGCUGUUUGAGCGGCCGAUAUCUGAUUAGCUAGUUGGUGGGGUAAAGGCCUACCAAGGCGACGAUCAGUAGCGGGUCUGAGAGGAUGAUCCGCCACACUGGGACUGAGACACGGCCCAGACUCCUACGGGAGGCAGCAGUGGAGAAUUUUGGACAAUGGGCGCGAGCCUGAUCCAGCCAUGCCGCGUGUCUGAAGAAGGCCUUCGGGUUGUAAAGGACUUUUGUCAGGGAAGAAAAGGGCGGGGUUAAUACCCCUGUCUGAUGACGGUACCUGAAGAAUAAGCACCGGCUAACUACGUG